rnacentral:lncRNA from 1 species
GUGCGGCCCCCCUUAGUAGGAGCCGCGACUAAGGGUGACGCUGUUUCUCGGCCCAGGGGGCAAAAGAGCCCGACCGGAAGCUGCUCUUGGAAGACAGAAGCCCAUGUGCAGGGAAUGUGCCAGUGCCCAGCAGAAACAAUGAAGUCAUUUCCACCCUUGAACUUGGGAAUGAAGAGAGGCAAAAGUCACAGGCUGGGAACCGCAGCCUGAAUUGGAUGAACUUAUCUUGUGGUUGACUUGUGCAUGUAUGAGUUUCACACCUGAGAACAGGAUAGGAACUUUUGAAAUGCAGCCCACGCCCUCUGGCCCUCGUGUGUACAGAGCCGCCUUCGUUGGGUGACUCAGGGUAAUGACUGAGCAACAACUGUUGGCUUGAGUGGUGCCGGGGAUGCCCUGGGAGGCUCUCCCUGCCAUGCUGCC